GACGAACGCUGGCGGCGUGCCUAACACAUGCAAGUCGAGCGAACAGACGAGGAGCUUGCUCGUCUGACGUUAGCGGCGGACGGGUGAGUAACACGUGGAUACCCUACCUAUAAGACUGGGAUAACCUCGGGACACCGGAGCUAAUACCGGAUAAUAUAUUGAACCGCAUGGUUCAAUAGUGAAAGACGGUUUUGCUGUCACUUAUAGAUGGAUCCCCGCCGCAUUAGCUAGUUGGUAAGGUAACGGCUUACCAAGGCGACGAUGCGUAGCCGACCUGAGAGGGUGAUCGGCCACACUGGAACUGAGACACGGUCCAGACUCCUACGGGAGGCAGCAGUAGGGAAUCUUCCGCAAUGGGCGAGAGCCUGACAGAGCAACGCCGCGUGAGUGAUGAAGGUGUUCGGAUCGUAAAGCUCUGUUAUUAGGGGAGAACAAAUGUGUAAGUAACUGUGCACGUAUUGACGGUACCUAAUCAGAAAGCCACGGCUAACUACGUG
rnacentral:rRNA from 1 species